AGAAAAAGUUGUUAUUGCUCGGGUGCCGAGUGCCGGUACUCUAAACUUUAAGCAGCCAUCGUCAUUUGCGUGUUUUAGGCAGUCCACUUGUAUUACGCCAAAUCCCCUCACUGACCGGCCAACAGAGCCGGCUCGCCGCCCUCGUGAGCCCUCCCAAAGUGUUAUGGGACUCUGCAAUGAAGCCUUUACAUUUUCUGUUCCAAGGCAUACCCCGCAACGAUGGCGUCGGCCUCAGAGUGUGGCCGAAGCGUGCUGCCAGAGGACCCCGGCCUUCUUAGGAGACGCCGACUAGGAGAUGGCAGGAACUUCCCGGACAGUGAGGCAGCCUUAUUUUGCACCCGAGGUGGAUUCACAUCCCGGAUGUCCGAGAGAUAAGUUGAGGGUUAUGACCCACAGAGGGGAUGAAAGCAGGGUGCUGGGUCGGGCCUCGCCGGGAGGGAUUUUUGAGUCAGCUUUGAAGGCGGGAAUGUCCAAGAAGGGGCCCCGUAGCCCACAUAAAGGGCAAGUCUCACUUUUGAUCACAAUGCCGAGGCGGGCAGAGCAGUCGCGGUGUGUGUUGUGUCACCUGUCUAUUGUAUGUUCUGUGUCUUUUGGGCAUCUUGUGUCUUAGGUCUUUUUCCUUAGCCCUUCGAGGGGCCAGCUUAUCAGAAAUGCUGGGCAUCAUCCUUAGCAUCCUUGGCCGGGUGCCGAUACCGUGAGACCUUUGACCGACGAGCUCGGAUGUGCAUCGGAAUCGCAUCUCCCUUUAGAAGCAUUGAGUCAGAGGUCUUUUAUGGUCUUGUUCUGAGCUAUAUUCACAGCUGUGCACCGCAGUGAUCCAUUACAGGGGAUUAGGACUUGUCAGAAUGUAAGGAGCGGUAGAGGAUUCUGACCGUACGAUUCUCGGGCAUCC